rnacentral:RNase_P_RNA from 1 species
GAAGCUGGCCAGACAGCCGCUGAACACCUUAGGGUGCGCAGAGGAAAGUCCGGGCUCCACAGGGCAGGGUGACGGUUAACGGCCGUCCGUUAUAAACCGCAGACGCAAGUCUGCGGCGAAGGCGAGGAACAGGGCCACAGAGACGAGUCUUGGUGUGCAAACAUCAAGGGUGAAACGCGGCAACCUCCACCCGGAGCAACACCAAAUAGGCAAGCGAUGACGCGGCCCGUCGAGCUUGCGGGUAGGUGGCUUGAGCCUUGGAGUAAUCCAAGGCCUAGAGGAAUGGCUGUCCACGACAGAACCCGGCUUAUCGGCCAGCUUCAUUU